GGAUGUGAGGGCGAUCUGGCUGUGACAUCUGUCACCCCAUUGAUCAUCAGGGUUGAUUCGGCUGAUCUGGCUGGCUAGACGGGUGUCCCCUUCCUCCCUCACCGCUCCAUGUGCGUCCCUCCUGAAGCUGCGCGCUCAGUCGGUCGAGGAGGACGACCUUCCCCGAUAAAGGAGAGGACCGUUCUUCGGUCAACGGUAUACGAGUAGCUGCGCUCCCCUGCUAGAACCUCCAAACAAGCUCUCAAGAAAUUAAAAAUAGAGCCUCCCUAUGACUCUGCAAUUGCACUACUGGGUAUUUACCCCAAAGAU
rnacentral:snRNA from 1 species